GCGGUAAUACCAGCUCUCCGAGUGGUAGGGACGAUUAUUGGGCUUAAAGCGUUCGUAGCCGGCUCAGCAAGUCUUCCGUUAAAUCCAGCGACCUAAUCGUUGGGCUGCGGGAGAUACUGUUGGGCUAGGAGGCGGGAGAGGCCGACGGUAUUCUCGGGGUAGGGGUGAAAUCCUAUAAUCCCGG
rnacentral:rRNA from 1 species